UCUGUUUGUAUUGUUUCUAGUACUAAGAAGAUAUUAUGUGUUUUCAGUUUGGUUGACAGGUUGAGGAGGUAACUCCUCUGUCUUUUUAUCAGUUUAAUCUUGUCCAUUGUAUGCAGUAAGAAAAUAUGUUGGGUUAUAUACAACGCGAGGCUAGAUUAUCGAGAAACAUGUAUGCUCAAAACAAAUGGCUUGUUUCCUUUGCUGGAUAGGCAAGACACCGAAAUAGGCAUAAUGAAUUCGGUUAUGACUUUGUGCUGUGGGAAAUGAAGUUCAAAGUACACUCUGGGGUCAACUUCCGCUACCGCUUCAACGGAGGCUUUGAAAAGGAAAAUUCAAAAAAUUGAUGACAGUUUAGAAAUAAAGAGUGUGUGAUGCCGAAUCACGUCUUGAAGACUCAAACCUAUCUUCUUGAAUCAUGAAUACUGUCUCAGAACUCACAGUUCAAGAUUGGAGGCAAUGGUGUUCUUGUUUCUCCUCUGACCUACAAUUCUGAUGAAGAACCCCCUCGAUGGCACGAACUCCUUUCAGAGCGCGGCAUGUAGUCUUUUGGGAAUGCUGCCUUGGGUGGUUUUUGCAUUCUACAGCAUUAGCAUGUUGAAUAACUCCUGGAGCUUGUGUUAGAAGAGAAUUCAGCUCAAGAAGUUGCAACACUUACAUGUAUUUCGGCGCAUUGUACAAGUAUUUUUAUGUUCCAAAUUGACCUCCAUUAUACUUGCUUUCAAAUUUUCUUAGUUUAAAUCUACGAGCGUUUUUUCCUCUCCCUCACCGACCCUCUCUUGUUGUAAUCAUGACAGUUGGAAUCUAAUCAGUUUGUUCUGAAAUAAGCUGUCAUAGAUUGGACUCUC